AGGGGGAGGCUGGAUCCUGGGCUGUGUCCCCGGCAACCUGUGCUCCUGGGCCUGUGCUGUUGGAUUCGCUCCCAGCCGCGCACAGCCCCCU
rnacentral:pre_miRNA from 1 species